UGGAUAUCUGCCUUUUGGUUCGGAAUAACCCGGGAAACUGGGGCUAAUACCGGAUGGUUCCUUCGGGAUAAAGAUUUAUCGCCAAAAGACGAGUCCGCGUACGAUUAGCUAGUUGGUGAGGUAAUGGCUCACCAAGGCGACGAUCGUUAGCUGGUCUGAGAGGAUGAUCAGCCUCAUUGGGACUGAGACACGGCCCAAACUCCUACGGGAGGCAG
rnacentral:rRNA from 1 species